UACAGAGGUCUCAAGCGUUGUUCGGAUUUACUGGGCGUAAAGGGUGCGUAGGCGGCGGCGUAAGUCGAGUGUGAAAUCUUCCGGCUCAACCGGAAAAUUGCACUCGAUACUGCGUCGCUCGAGGACUGUAGAGGAGACUGGAAUUCACGGUGUAGCAGUGAAAUGCGUAGAUAUCGUGAGGAAGACCGGUGGCGAAAGCGAGUCUCUGGGCAGUUCCUGACGCUGAGGCACGAAGGCUAGGGGAGCAAACGGG
rnacentral:rRNA from 1 species